rnacentral:rRNA from 1 species
CCUACGGGAGGCAGCAGUGGGGAAUUUUGGACAAUGGGCGCAAGCCUGAUCCAGCCAUGCCGCGUGGGUGAAGAAGGCCUUCGGGUUGUAAAGCCCUUUCGGCUGGGACGAAAAGGUUCGGGUUAAUAACCCGGAUCCAUGACGGUACCAGCAGAAGAAGCACCGGCUAACUACGUGCCAGCAGCCGCGGUAAUACGUAGGGUGCAGGCGUUAAUCGGAAUUACUGGGCGUAAAGCGUGCGCAGGCGGUUUGCUAAGAGAGAUGUGAAAUCCCCGGGCUUAACCUGGGAACUGCGUUUCUAACUGGCAGGCUUGAGUGUGGCAGAGGGGGGUGGAAUUCCACGUGUAGUAGUGAAAUGCGUAGAGAUGUGGAGGAACACCGAUGGCGAAGGCAGCCCCCUGGGCUAACACUGACGCUCAUGCACGAAAGCGUGGGGAGCAAACAGGAUUAGAUACCCUGGUAGUCCACGCCCUAAACUAUGUCAACUGGUUGUCGGGGAAGCAAUUCCUUGGUAACGAAGCUAACGCGUGAGGUUGACCGCCUGGGGAGUACGGCCGCAAGGUUAAAACUCAAAGGAAUUGACGG